CAGGCCCACCAGGUGAUCGCAGAUGUACAGACGAAAGGGUACAGAUGAGGAAAGUCCGGGCUUCGCAGGGCAGGAUGCCGGAUAACGUCCGGUGGAGGUAACUCCCAGACCAGUGCAACAGAAAUAAACCGCCUCACUUGUGGGGUAAGGGUGGAAAGGCAGUGUAAGAGACUACCGCCGACCUGGUAACAGGGCGGGCACAUGUAAACUCCAUUCGAAGCAAGACCGAAAAGAAAGCGAUACGGCUGCCCGUCGUGCUUUCAGGUGGGCCGCUUGAGCCCCGGAGCGAUCCGUGGCCUAGAUAGAUGAUCACCCAAUGACAUAACCCGGCUUAUCGAUGGACCUGAUGU
rnacentral:RNase_P_RNA from 1 species